GACGUAGGAUGCAAGCGUUGUCCGGAUUUAUUGGGCGUAAAGAGCGUGUAGGCGGUUUGGUAGGUCCGCUGUGAAAACUCGAGGCUCAACCUCGAGACGCCGGUGGAAACCAUCAGACUAGAGUCCGGAAGAGGAGAGUGGAAUUCCUGGUGUAGCGGUGAAAUGCGCAGAUAUCAGGAAGAACACCCGUGGCUAAGGCGGCUCUCUAGUACGGUACUGACGCUGAGACGCGAAAGCGUGGGGAGCGAACAGG
rnacentral:rRNA from 1 species